CGCCCGGGUUGGAGGUGGGAGGCUGCUCGCUCUCUCUCCUCUCUCCACUUGCCUCGUCGCUACUUCGUGCCAGACAAGUGUUGAAGGGACUUGAUAUUUAACUUAUUGGACUGUUAAGUGGUUUAUAAGUGUAUUAAAGACUGGCAGUGUGAACGUGUGGGCUACUUAAGUGCAAUUUCUCUCCCUUUCUCAUUAUCUCAACUCAAUCUCUCAUCCUCAUUUCGCUUCCUUCGAUUACUCUCCCCAGCCUCUCCCUCUCCCUCUCUCUCUCUCUCUCUCUCUCUCUCUCUCUCUAGGGACAUAGAUUCUGGAGGAGCUGUGAGUAGAAGCAAACUUUUAACGCCCAUCACAGGAGCGGCAGUGGCUGAGUGGUGACUGACUGGACCAGCUUCCUCCGCUCACAGGUUGUGCUUGAAAGGAAAAUCCCUCAGGACAGCGUGAGAGGAGGAGGAGGAGGAGGAGGAGGAGGA